rnacentral:lncRNA from 1 species
AAGUGGCAUUGUGUAAUCCAAAAGAAGCAAAUGAUCUCCCUUAUUCCAAAAGAAAGUUCAUGUAUUUUAAGAAUCAGAGAAAACUAAAUUAUAAGAGGAUACUGGAAAUGGCAUUGUGUAAACCAAAAGAAGCCAAUUAUCUCCCUUAUACAAAUGGGAAAUUAAAAAAAAACCACAUACAUUUUCAGCAUCAGCAAAACAGUAAGCUAUCAGUAGACAUUGGAAUUAACUGUUUCGAACAGGAAACAGCUGACUAUCUCUUUCAUUUCAAAGACAAAAACUAC